GACGAACGCUGGCGGCGUGCCUAAUACAUGCAAGUCGAGCGAUGAAGCUUGGUGCUUGCACCACUUUGAAGAGCAGCGGACGGGUGAGUAGCGCGUGGGGAAUCUGCCUAUGAGCGGGGGACAACAUCUGGAAACGAAUGCUAAUACCGCAUAACAACUUUAAACAUAAGUUUUAAGUUUGAAAGAUGCACUUGCAUCCACCAAAGAUUAUCCCGCGUUGUAUUAGCUAGUUGGUGAGGUAAAGGCUCACCAAGGCGAUGAUACAUAACCGACCUGGGAGGGUGAUCGGGCACAUUGGGACUGGGACACGGGCCAAGCUUCUACGGGAGGCCGCAGGAGGGGAUCUUCGGGCAUGGACGGAAGGCUGGCCGGGGAACGCCGGGUGGGGGAAGGAAGGUCUCGGGUCGGAAAAAUCCUUUUGUAGGGAAGAAAGUUGGUGAGAGGGGAAAGCUCAUAAAGUGACGGUAACUACCCAGAAAGGGACGGCUAACUACAUG
rnacentral:rRNA from 1 species